rnacentral:rRNA from 1 species
UUGGGUCGACUCUAGAGGGACUGCCGGCGACAAGUCGGAGAAGUGGGGAUGACGUCAAAUCAUCAUGCCCCUUAUGACCUGGGCUACACACGUGCUACAAUGGGCGGUACAAAGGGCUGCGAACCCGCGAGGGGGAGCGAAUCCCAAAAAGCCGCUCUCAGUUCGGAUUGCAGGCUGCAACUCGCCUGCAUGAAGCCGGAAUCGCUAGUAAUCGCGGAUCAGCAUGCCGCGGUGAAUACGUUCCCGGGCCUU